AAUCAACGCUGGCGGCGUGCCUAACACAUGCAAGUCGAACGCGAAAGCCCCGCAAGGGGCAAGUAGAGUGGCAAACGGGUGAGUAACACGUGGGUGACCUGCCUUCGAGUGGGGGAUAACGUCCCGAAAGGGACGCUAAUACCGCAUGACAUCCUGCCUUUGGAGAGGUGGAGAUCAAAGCCGGGGAUCGCAAGACCUGGCGCUUGAAGAGGGGCCCGCGCCUGAUUAGCUAGNGGUGGGGUAACGGCUCACCAAGGCGACGAUCAGUAUCCGGCCUGAGAGGGCGGACGGACACGCUGGGACUGAGACACGGCCCAGACUCCUACGGGAGGCAGCAGUGGGGAAUUGUUCGCAAUGGGCGCAAGCCUGACGACGCAACGCCGCGUGGAGGACGAAGAUCUUCGGGUCGUAAACUCCUGUCGAGCGGGACGAACGCUUCGCGGAUGAAUACUCCGCGGAAUUGACGGUACCGCUAAAGGAAGCCCCGGCUAACUCCGUGCCAGCAGCCGCCG
rnacentral:rRNA from 1 species